AGUGAACGCUGGCGGCGUGCCUAAUACAUGCAAGUCGAACGAAGUGGCGCACGGGUGAGUAAUAUAUAGUUAAUCUGCCCUACACAGAGGAACAACAGUUGGAAACGACUGCUAAUACCUCAUAGUGUAGGAUGAGACUAUAUCGUAUCAGCUAGUUGGUAAGGUAAUGGCUUACCAAGGGGAUGACGCGUAACUGGUCUGAGAGGAUGAUCAGUCAAAUUGUAACUGAGACACGGUCCAAACUCCUACGGGAAGGAGCAGUAAGGAAUACUGCGCAAGCGGGGAAACCCUGACGGAGCAACGCCGCGUGAAGCAUGAUACUUAUCGAAGCGUAAGCUCCUUUUUACAGGAAAGCGGUACCUAAUGAAUAAGCACCGGCUAACUCCGUGCCAGCAGCCGCGGUAAUUC
rnacentral:rRNA from 1 species